GAUGAACGCUGGCGGCGUGCCUAAUACAUGCAAGUCGAGCGAACAGACGAGGAGCUUGCUCCUCUGACGUUAGCGGCGGACGGGUGAGUAACACGUGGAUAACCUACCUAUAAGACUGGGAUAACUUCGGGAAACCGGAGCUAAUACCGGAUAAUAUAUUGAACCGCAUGGUUCAAUAGUGAAAGACGGUUUUGCUGUCACUUAUAGAUGGAUCCGCGCCGCAUUAGCUAGUUGGUAAGGUAACGGCUUACCAAGGCAACGAUGCGUAGCCGACCUGAGAGGGGGGUCGGCCACACUGGAGGUGGGACGCGGUCCAGGCUCCUACGGUAGGCAGCAGUAGGGUAUCGUCCGCAGUGGUCGAAAGCCUGACGGAGCGACGCCGCGUGAGAGAUGAAGGUCUUCGGAUCGUAAAACUCUGUUAUUAGGGAAGAACAGAUGUGUAAGUAACUGUGCACGUCUUGACGGUACCUAAUCAGGAAGCCACGGCUAACUACGUG
rnacentral:rRNA from 1 species